rnacentral:lncRNA from 1 species
AAAUACUACAAAAUAAAAUUAUUACCAAUGCAAAACGAAAAGCAUGGGAAAACAUAGAAGACUUAAUAAAAAUAAGAAAAAGUAUAAAAACAUUGAAAAAUUCAAAGCCGUUAAAAAUAAAAUAAAAUUACAUAAAAAAGAAAUCAAGCUUAAAAUUGCAAAACAAUUUGUGCUGAACCUAUCCCCUAAAACAUUAUCACAACCAGAAACACUAGUUCUUGCUAAAGGACUUAACUUUGUUCCAACAACAAAAACAUCCAUAAAACAAAUAAUGAAAGAUUUCAA